rnacentral:lncRNA from 1 species
UAAAAAAAAACUAACAUUAAAGCAAUUGUAAUCCGAAAUAUAUGUGUAAUUCCCGUUUCAGACAGAAUAUAUAAAGUGACAUUCCCGGUUUAGUGUUUACAUUACCUUCGUCUUCGGCUCAGAAAAUAUAAACUGUAAGCCGGGAAUGUCACAUUAUAUACCCUGCGUGAGAACUGAAUAACACAUAAUAUUUAACGAUUU